GGGUGGUCAGGUAGAGAAUACCAAAGCGAUCGAGCGAAUCCUGGUCAAGGAACUCGGCAAAUUGCUCCCGUGCCUUCGGCAUAAGGGAGACCCCCUGCGGUGAUGAGCGGCGGGGGGUGGCACAGGCCAGGGGGUAGCGACUGUUUACCAAAAACACAGGAGCGUGCGAAGGCGCAAGCCGCUGUAUACGCUCUGACGCCUGCCCGGUGCCGGAAGGUUAAGAGGAUCCGUCAGCUUUCUGCGAAGCGGUGAAUUCAAGCCCCGGUAAACGGCGGUGGUAACGAUAACCAUCCUAAGGUAGCGAAAUUCCUUGUCGGGUAAGUUCCGACCUGCACGAAUGGCGUAACGACUUCCCCACUGUCUCGACCAGCUCGGCGAAAUUGCAGUACGAGUAAAGAUGCUCGUUAAGCGCAGAAGGACGAAAAGACCCCGGGACCUUUACUAUACCUUGGUAUUGGCAUUAGGCGCGGAUUGUGUAGCAUAGGCGGGAGGCUUCGAGGCGGGUGCGCCAGCAUCCGCGGAGCCGCAAGGUGAAAUACCGCUCUGUUCUCGUUUGAUGUCUAACCUCGAACAGUCAUCCUGUUCAGGGACAGUGCCUGGCGGGUAGUUCAACUGGGGCGGUUGCCUCCCAAAGAGUAACGGAGGCGCUCAAAGGUCCGCUCGGCCCGGUUGGCAAUCGGGUGUCGAGUGUAAUCGCACAAGCGGGCUUGACUGCGAGAUCGACGGAUCGAGCAGGGACGAAAGUCGGAGAUAGUGAUCCGGUGCCGGCGCACGGGCGCGGCAUCGCUCAACGGAUAAAAGGUACCCCGGGGAUAACAGGCUGAUCAUUCCCAAGAGUCCAUAUCGACGGGAUGGUUUGGCACCUCGAUGUCGGCUCGUCGCAUCCUGGGGCUGGAGCAGGUCCCAAGGGUUCGGCUGUUCGCCGAUCAAAGCGGCACGCGAGCUGGGUUCAGAACGUCGUGAGACAGUUUGGUCUCUAUCCUCUGCGCUCGUUGGAAUCUUGAGGAGGCCUGCCCAUAGUACGAGAGGACCUGGGUGGACGAACCUCUGGUAUGCCGGUCGUCACGCCAGUGGCGCGGCCGGUUGGCUACGUUCGGAAGGGAUAACCGCUGAAAGCAUCUAAGCGGGAAGCCUUCUCCAAGAUAAGGAUUCCAUGCGGCCCCGAGCCGCUGAAGACCCCAUGCAGAACACGUGGUCGAUAGGCCGGACGUGGAAGCCCCGCGAGGGGUGGAGCCGACCGGUACUAAUGGUCGAGAGGCAAUC
rnacentral:rRNA from 1 species